AAAACUACUGUUAAUCCUGUAGAUGCAAUAUAUCAACCCAGUCCCUAGGAACCUGUAAUCAGCACAAUGCCUUCCCAGACUGUCUUACCUCCAGAACCAGCUCAGUUUUGUAAGUCAGAGCAGCGUCUGUCUUCCUUACCCAUUGAGCCUGAAUUAGCUACCUUGGGACAUCAUCAGACUCCAACAUGAAAUAGUACAGGCAGUUGGCAUUCACCACCUAGUAGCAGUCUAACUUCUUCAUGCCAUGUCACCUUGUCUCCAAAUACAGUUCCAGAGUUUUCUAACUGUAGCAGUGAAGAUGAUUUCUAUGAUGCUGAUGAAUUCUAUCAUCAUCCCCAAAACGGUUAAUAGAUUCUUCUGGUUCUGCCUCAGUCUUGACACAUAGCAGUUCGUGAAAUAGCCUAAAGCACCCAGAUACCACAGAAUCACUGAAUUCUUCCAUGUCCAAUGGUACAAGUGAUGCUGACCUUUUUGAUUCACAUGACUGAUAGAGACCAAGAUGGGGAGGCAGGAUCAGUGGAAGAGCACAAGAGUGUUAUCAUGCACUUCUUGUCACAGGUUAGGCUUGGAAUGGAUCUUACUAAGGUAGUUCUUCCAACAUUUAUUCUUGAAAGAAGAUCUCUUUUAGAGAUGUAUGCAGACUUUUUUUUUUUGCACAUCCGGACCUGUUUGUGAGCAUUAGUGACCAGAAAGUUCCCAGGGAUCGAAUGGUUCAGGUUGUGAAAUGGUACCUCUCCACAUUUCAUGCAGGAAGGAAAGGAUUGGUUGCCAAAAAGCCAUUUUGGGUGAGAUCUUUCAGUGUCACUGGACAUUACCAAAUGACACUGAAGAGAACACAGAGCUAGUUUCAGAAGGACCAGUUCCCUGGGUUUCCAAAAACAGUGUAACAAAAGUGGCUGAGCAGGUUUCCCAUCAUCCACCCAUUUCAGCCUUUUAUGCUGACUGUUUUAACAAGAAAAUCCAAUUCAAUGCUCAUAUCUGGACUAAAUCAAAAUUCCUUGGGAUGUCAAUUGGGGUGCACAUCAUAGGGAAAGGCUGUGUCUCAUGGCUAGACUAUGAUGAGCAUUACAUUCUCACAUUCCCCAAUGGUUAUGGAAGGUCUAUCCUCACAGUGCCCUGGGUGGAUCUAGGAGGAGAAUGCAAUAUUACUUGUUCCAAAACUGGUUAUAGUGCAAAUAUCAUCUUCCACACUAAACCUUUCUAUGGAGGCAAGAAACACAGAAUUACUGCUGAGAUUUUUUUCUCCAAAUGACAAGAAGUCUUUUUGCUCAAUUAAAGGGGAAUGGAAUGGUGUAAUGUAAGCAAAAUACACAACAGGGGAAAAUACAGUCUUUGUAGAUACCAAGAAGUUGCCUAUAGUCAAGAAGAAAGUGAGGAAGUUGGAAGAUCAGAAUGAAUAUGAGUCCCACUGCCUUUGGAAGGAUGUCACUUUCAAUUUAAAAAUCAGAGACAUUGAUGCAGCAACUGAAGCAAAGCACUGACUUGAAGAAAGACAAAGAGCAGAAGCUCGAGAAAGGAAAGAGAAGGAAAUUCAGUGGGAGACAAAGUUAUUCCAUGAAUGCUGGGUUUAUGAUGAACCAUUACUGAAAUGUCUUGGUGCCGUGAAGCAUUAG